rnacentral:rRNA from 1 species
AAGGAUUAUGAUAUGAGACUGCAUUAUCACCCCGGGAAGGCUAACGUUGUAGCAGACGCGUUGAGCCGUAAGAGCCACGUCAAUACACUAAUGAUGGGAGGAAUACCCAAGGAGUUAGCUGAGGAUCUUCAUGAUCUAUGUUUGGAAAUAGUUCCGAGAGGCUAUGUAGCAGCAAUGGAGAUUCAGUCUACGUUGAUGGAUAAAAUCAGAGAAGCUCAAAAGACAGAUAAGGAAGUUGCCUCUAUAAAGGAGAAAAUGAGCGAAGGAAAGGCUAAGGGAUUUCGUGAGGAUGAGUACGAUACCCUACGAUUUGAGGACCGUGUUUAUGUGCCCAAUGACCUGGAGAUCAGGAAGUUGAUUCUGCAAGAGGCACAUGAUUCACCAUAUUCGAUUCACCCCGGGAAUACCAAGAUGUAUUUGGAUUUGAAGGAAACUUUCUGGUGGACCGGAAUGAAGAAGGAUAUUGCAGAGUAUGUAGCAGUUUGUGAUGUAUGUCGGAGGGUGAAAGCAGAACACCAGAAGCCAGCCGGAUUGUUGCAGCCAUUGCCUAUACCCGAAUGGAAGUGGGACAAACUAGGCAUGGAUUUCAUCACGGGAUUGCCCAGGACUCGUUCAGGCUAUGACUCAAUUUGGGUUGUAGUCGAUCGUUUGACGAAGGUAGCUCAUUUCAUCCCAGUAAAGACUACCUACAGCGGUGCCAAAUUGGCUAAGAUAUACAUGACAAGGAUUGUAUGUUUGCAUGGAGUUCCGAGGAGUAUCGUAUCAGAUAGAGGAACCCAAUUCACCUCAAAGUUCUGGAAGCAGUUGCACGAAACACUGGGAACCAGGCUGGAGUUUAGCACAGCAUUCCAUCCACAGACAGAUGGACAGACUGAGAGAGUCAAUCAGAUUUUGGAGGAUAUGCUUAGAGCUUGUGUUUUGGAUUAUGGAUCAAGUUGGGAUGACAACUUGCCAUACGCGGAGUUUUCUUACAACAACAGUUAUCAAUCCAGUUUGAAGAUGGCCCCUUUCAAAGCCUUGUACGGAAGGAGGUGCAGAACCCCGUUGUUGUGGGAUGAGGUGGGAGACCGCCAGUUGUUUGGACCGGAUUUGAUUAAGGAGUCUGAACAGAAGGUAAAACUGAUCCGCGACAGGCUCAAGGUAGCUCAGUCAAGACAGAAG